rnacentral:misc_RNA from 1 species
GAUGAAGAACGCAGCGAAAUGCGAUAAGUAAUGCGAAUUGCAGAAUUCAGUGAAUCAUCGAAUCUUUGAACGCACAUUGCGCCCCUUGGUAUUCCAUGGGGCAUGCCUGUUCGAGCGUCAUUUGUACCUUCAAGCUCUGCUUGGUGUUGGGUGUUUGUCUCGCCUCUGCGUGUAGACUCGCCUCAAAACAAUUGGCAGCCGGCGUAUUGAUUUCGGAGCGCAGUACAUCUCGCGCUUUGCACUCAUAACGACGACGUCCAAAAGUACAUUUUUACACUCUUGACCUCGGAUCAGGUAGGGAUACCCGCUGAACUUAAGCAUAUCAAUAAGCGGAGGA